CGCCUGUUUUAACAAAAACAUGUCCUUUUGGGUGAAUAUGAGGUCUGACCUGCCCACUGAUGUUUGAAUGGCCGCAGUAUUUUAACUGUGCAAAGGUAGCAUAAUCAUUAGUCUUUUAAUUGAAGGCUGGUAUGAAUGGUUGGACGAGAUACUAUCUGUUUCAUGUAGAGUUAGAUUAGAAUUUUAUUUUUCAGUAAAAAAGCUGAAAUGGUUUUUAAAGACGAGAAGACCCUAUAAAUCUUUAUAGUUGAUUUGUUAUAAUUUUUUAGAUGGGUUGUAUUAUGACAGUUGAUACUAUUUUAUUGGGGUGAUAUUAAAAUUUAAUUAACUUUUAGUUUUUGGUGACAUUAAUUAAUGAUUGAUUGAUCCGUUAAUGACGAUUGGAAAAUUAAGUUACUUUAGGGAUAACAGCGUAAUUUUUUUGGAGAGUUCUUAUCGAUAAAAGUGAUUGCGACCUCGAUGUUGGAUUAAGAGAUAGGUUUGGGUGUAGCAGCUUGAAUUCUAAGUCUGUUCGACUUUUAAUUUCUUACAUGA
rnacentral:rRNA from 1 species